CUUACCAGGUCCAGACACAGUUAGGAUUGACAGAUUGAGAGCUCUUUCUUGAUUCUGUGGGUGGUGGUGCAUGGCCGUUCUUAGUUGGUGGAGUGAUUUGUCUGGUUAAUUCCGAUAACGAACGAGACCUCAGUUUAUUAAUCAAAUAAAAAAAUAUUAACAAUAUAAGGGUUAAAGGAUUUUAGUAUUUUACUUGUAAAAUAUUAUAUUUUUUAAAACUUGUUUAUAUUUCAUUUUAUUUUCUUAAAAAGACACUUGGUGUUUAACCAAGGGAAGUUUGAGGCAAUAACAGGUCUGUGAUGCCCUUUAGAUGUUCUGGGCCGCACGCGCGCUACACUGAUAAAAUCAAUAAGUUUUUUAACAAUCACCUUAAUAGAAAUAUUUGGGUAAACUUUGAAAAUUUUAUCGUGCUGGGGAUUGACAAUUGUAACUAUUUGUCAUCAACGAGGAAUUCCUAGUAAACGUAAGUCAUCAGCUUACGUUGAUUACGUCCCUGCCCUUUGUACACACCGCCC
rnacentral:rRNA from 1 species